AUCAAUUAACAGUAAAACAGCUGGAACAAUAAAAGUGAAAAUUAAUGUCUUUGCAUAUGAUUUCUUGUCCCAGUUGGUGUUUUCACGUGUCCUGGGUUUGUAUUUCAGAUUGGACUGUUUUGGAUGGUAAAAGUCCAGCUGGUAGACAGUCUUGGAAGGGGAAAGAAAGAGCAAGGACAGUUCUCUGCAGCCAAUUCAGAAACGGGCAUCCUGUGCUGCUCAGAAUUUUGGUAGGAAGAUGCCAGCCUGUGAAGACAAUCCUUCUUCAAUUUAACUGACUAAGGUUUUCCUGCAGAAGAGGUUCAAAACAUAUGACUGUUCUGCAGGCUGUAGAAGAAGCACGGUUCCAGCAUCUGCUCCUGGUGAGGCCUCAGGCUGCUUGCACUUGUAGUGGAAGAGGAAGGGGAGACAGUGUGUGCAGAGACCACACG
rnacentral:lncRNA from 10 species